rnacentral:rRNA from 1 species
UACGAAGGGGGCUAGCGUUGUUCGGAAUUACUGGGCGUAAAGCGAACGUAGGCGGUGUUCCAUGUCAGAGGUGAAAGCCUGGGGCUCAACUCCAGAAUUGCCUUUGAAACGGGGACGCUUGAGUCCGAGAGAGGGUGGCGGAAUUCCUAGUGUAGAGGUGAAAUUCGUAGAUAUUAGGAAGAACACCAGUGGCGAAGGCGGCCACCUGGCUCGGUACUGACGCUCAGGUUCGAAAGCGUGGGGAGCAAACAGGAUUAGAUACCCUGGUAGUCCACGCCGUAAACGAUGAGUGCUAGUUGUUGGGAAGUUUACUUCUCAGUGACGCAGCUAACGCGAUAAGCACUCCGCCUGGGGAGUACGGCCGCAAGGUUA